rnacentral:rRNA from 1 species
GGCCUACGGGGGGCAGCAGUGGGGAAUAUUGGACAAUGGGGGAAACCCUGAUCCAGCGACGCCGCGUGAGUGAAGAAGUAUUUCGGUACGUAAAGCUCUAUCAGCAGGAAAGAAAAUGACGGUACCUGACUAAGAAGCCCCGGCUAACUACGUGCCAGCAGCCGCGGUAAUACGUAGGGGGCAAGCGUUAUCCGGAUUUACUGGGUGUAAAGGGAGCGUAGACGGUUAUGUAAGUCUGGAGUGAAAGCCCGGGGCCCAACCCCGGGACUGCUUUGGAAACUGUGUAACUGGAGUACAGGAGGGGG